UACGGAGGGUGCGAGCGUUGUCCGGAAUCACUGGGCGUAAAGGGCGCGUAGGCGGCGCGGAUAGUCGGCGGUGAAAGCCCGGAGCUCAACUCCGGGUCGGCCGUCGAUACUUCCGGGCUUGGAGCACUGUAGAGGCAGAUGGAAUUCCGGGUGUAGCGGUGGAAUGCGUAGAGAUCCGGGAAGAACACCGGUGGCGAAGGCGGU
rnacentral:rRNA from 1 species